UACGUAGGGAGCAAGCGUUGUUCGGAUUUACUGGGCGUAAAGGGCGCGUAGGCGGCGCGGUAAGUCACUUGUGAAAUCUCUGAGCUUAACUCAGAACGGCCAAGUGAUACUGCAGUGCUAGAGUGCAGAAGGGGCAAUCGGAAUUCUUGGUGUAGCGGUGAAAUGCGUAGAUAUCAAGAGGAACACCUGAGGUGAAGACGGGUUGCUGGGCUGACACUGACGCUGGAGUGCGCGAAAGCCAGGGGAGCAAACGGG
rnacentral:rRNA from 1 species